UCUUAUGGAUGAGCAAAGAAAGUGAUUUGUUGAGAUGGAAUCUACUCCUGGUGGAGAUACUAUGAA
rnacentral:pre_miRNA from 1 species